AGAGUUUGAUCCUGGCUCAGAUUGAACGCUGGCGGCAGGCCUAACACAUGCAAGUCGAACGGUAACAGGAAGAAGCUUGCUUCUUUGCUGACGAGUGGCGGACGGGUGAGUAAUGUCUGGGAAACUGCCUGAUGGAGGGGGAUAACUACUGGAAACGGUAGCUAAUACCGCAUAACGUCGCAAGACCAAAGAGGGGGACCUUCGGGCCUCUUGCCAUCGGAUGUGCCCAGAUGGGAUUAGCUUGUUGGUGGGGUAACGGCUCACCAAGGCGACGAUCCCUAGCUGGUCUGAGAGGAUGACCAGCCACACUGGAACUGAGACACGGUCCAGACUCCUACGGGAGGCAGCAGUGGGGAAUAUUGCACAAUGGGCGCAAGCCUGAUGCAGCCAUGCCGCGUGUAUGAAGAAGGCCUUCGGGUUGUAAAGUACUUUCAGCGGGGAGGAAGGGAGUAAAGUUAAUACCUUUGCUCAUUGACGUUACCCGCAGAAGAAGCACCGGCUAACUCCGUGCCAGCAGCCGCGGUAAUACGGAGGGUGCAAGCGUUAAUCGGAAUUACUGGGCGUAAAGCGCACGCAGGCGGUUUGUUAAGUCAGAUGUGAAAUCCCCGGGCUCAACCUGGGAACUGCAUCUGAUACUGGCAAGCUUGAGUCUCGUAGAGGGGGGUAGAAUUCCAGGUGUAGCGGUGAAAUGCGUAGAGAUCUGGAGGAAUACCGGUGGCGAAGGCGGCCCCCUGGACGAAGACUGACGCUCAGGUGCGAAAGCGUGGGGAGCAAACAGGAUUAGAUACCCUGGUAGUCCACGCCGUAAACGAUGUCGACUUGGAGGUUGUGCCCUUGAGGCGUGGCUUCCGGAGCUAACGCGUUAAGUCGACCGCCUGGGGAGUACGGCCGCAAGGUUAAAACUCAAAUGAAUUGACGGGGGCCCGCACAAGCGGUGGAGCAUGUGGUUUAAUUCGAUGCAACGCGAAGAACCUUACCUGGUCUUGACAUCCACAGAACCUUGUAGAGAUACGAGGGUGCCUUCGGGAACUGUGAGACAGGUGCUGCAUGGCUGUCGUCAGCUCGUGUUGUGAAAUGUUGGGUUAAGUCCCGCAACGAGCGCAACCCUUAUCCUUUGUUGCCAGCGGUCCGGCCGGGAACUCAAAGGAGACUGCCAGUGAUAAACUGGAGGAAGGUGGGGAAGACGUUAAGUCAUCAUGGCCCUUACGACCAGGGCUACACACGUGCUACAAUGGCGCAUACAAAGAGAAGCGACCUCGCGAGAGCAAGCGGACCUCAUAAAGUGCGUCGUAGUCCGGAUUGGAGUCUGCAACUCGACUCCAUGAAGUCGGAAUCGCUAGUAAUCGUGGAUCAGAAUGCCACGGUGAAUACGUUCCCGGGCCUUGCACACACCGCCCGUCA
rnacentral:rRNA from 1 species